UGGGAUACCACUUGGAAACAGGUGCUAAUACCGGAUAAGAAAGCAGAUCGCAUGAUCAGCUUAUAAAAGGCGGCGUAAGCUGUCGCUAUGGGAUGGCCCCGCGGUGCAUUAGCUAGUUGGUAAGGUAACGGCUUACCAAGGCAAUGAUGCAUAGCCGAGUUGAGAGACUGAUCGGCCACAUUGGGACUGAGACACGGCCCAAACUCCUACGGGAGGCAGCAGUAGGGAAUCUUCCACAAUGGACGCAAGUCUGAUGGAGCAACGCCGCGUGAGUGAAGAAGGUUUUCGGAUCGUAAAGCUCUGUUGUUGGUGAAGAAGGAUAGAGGCAGUAACUGGCCUUUAUUUGACGGUAAUCAACCAGAAAGUCACGGCUAACUACGUGCCAGCAGCCGCGGUAAUACGUAGGUGGCAAGCGUUGUCCGGAUUUAUUGGGCGUAAAGCGAGCGCAGGCGGAAGAAUAAGUCUGAUGUGAAAGCCCUCGGCUUAACCGAGGAACUGCAUCGGAAACUGUUUUUCUUGAGUGCAGAAGAGGAGAGUGGAACUCCAUGUGUAGCGGUGGAAUGCGUAGAUAUAUGGAAGAACACCAGUGGCGAAGGCGACUCUCUGGUCUGCAACUGACGCUGAGGCUCGAAAGCAUGGGUAGCGAACAGGAUUAGAUACCCUGGUAGUCCAUGCCGUAAACGAUGAGUGCUAAGUGUUGGGAGGUUUCCGCCUCUCAGUGCUGCAGCUAACGCAUUAAGCACUCCGCCUGGGGAGUACGACCGCAAGGUUGAAACUCAAAGGAAUUGACGGGGGCCCGCACAAGCGGUGGAGCAUGUGGUUUAAUUCGAAGCAACGCGAAGAACCUUACCAGGUCUUGACAUCUAGUGCCAUCCUAAGAGAUUAGGAGUUCCCUUCGGGGACGCUAAGACAGGUGGUGCAUGGCUGUCGUCAGCUCGUGUCGUGAGAUGUUGGGUUAAGUCCCGCAACGAGCGCAACCCUUGUUAUUAGUUGCCAGCAUUAAGUUGGGCACUCUAAUGAGACUGCCGGUGACAAACCGGAGGAAGGUGGGGAUGACGUCAAGUCAUCAUGCCCCUUAUGACCUGGGCUACACACGUGCUACAAUGGACAGUACAACGAGAAGCGAGCCUGCGAAGGCAAGCGAAUCUCUGAAAGCUGUUCUCAGUUCGGACUGCAGUCUGCAACUCGACUGCACGAAGCUGGAAUCGCUAGUAAUCGCGGAUCAGAACGCCGCGGUGAAUACGUUCCCGGGCCUUGUACACACCGC
rnacentral:rRNA from 1 species